AUGCUGCCAGGUCAGAUUCUGUUCUAGUGGCACAGCGCCGAGACUGCAUACAAAUUUACCCUGAGUGGCUGGAGAAAAUUGAUUCAGGCAAAAAGAUGUGGACAGCUCUCAAACAAUUUCGAGCAAAUGGGAAGCAUGAAGAGGUUAGUAUAUACUCAUGUUCUGGUGUGCUUUGUUAUCAAAUAAUUUUCAUUGUGUGUUAAUCAUCUCAUAACAUAUGGAGUGUUUUCUUGAUGGGCAUUCAGACCAAAUGAUGAACGAAUUAGAUCCUAGGUUCUCCAAAAUAUGACAUUGUGUUUUGCUUCAGUUACCUGAUAGAUUUUCAGCCUUUGCGUCAAAAUGAUUUUAUGCAUUUGUUUUCGCACUAACUUGUAUUUUUUUAACCACAACAAUGCAUAUAUGUAAGAAAAACUCAUGGUCAUUUGUGUGGUUGAUAGAAAUCAGUUAACAUCUCAAUUUCCUCAUGUGCUAUUGUAUGACUACGGAGAUUUUUUCUGACAUGCUCCCUCUUACCUCCCCUUUUCACAUCAGACGUAAAAGUAUAAAAUAAAUCUGAGUCAUUGACUGCAUUAAGUAGUGGACUUGACUAAAUCUUACCUUCUUAACUCCAAUGUGAAAAGAUGGGGUAAGAGGAAGCAUGUUAAAAUGGCUCAUGAAUGUGGUGCUGCCGCCAGUGGCGGAGCUUGAGCAUAAUCCAAGAGGGCCAUUACUUAAAGGGGAGCAAAUUAGAAGGGAAGGAUGGGCAAAUAUCUAGUUUAAACACUAGUUAGGCUUAAAAUAUAGUAUAUUCAUUGAUGGGUGCAAAAAUUGAGGGGGGCCAUGGCCCCUAUUGUUCUACAUGAAGCUCCGCCACUUACUGCCGCACAUUCUACAGUGUUGUUAUAGCCACUGACUGAAUCUUGUUUUUGCACUAUAUCCAAAUGUACUAGCAUUCAUAAGACACCAAUCUGCCAGGAUCUCGGCUUUUGGCCUUCUGCUAGGAUGCACUAAAGAUAUUGAUAAGUCUCGCCAUUCUUGGAUGUUGUGAAGGUUACCUGACUAGAACAGAUUGAUCUGGAGAAGGAUAUGGCGGCGCGGCAAACCUAAAGUAGCGAUGAUGCAAGAAAUGGAAUGUGAUCGAGAAUGGUAUUCUCUCCGGGUGCACACCAGAGAGAAUACAAAUUAGGGUCUGCAUGGACGACCAAAACACAUGAUAUUUUUUCAUCAACUAGCCCAUCCUUUUUCCUUUGAUCUACUAACAUUGGUUUCAAGUUAUUGUAGAAGUUUCUUAUAGUGACUGGUUAAAAUAAUUCACACAUGUUCGUCUAUUCAUGCUAUGUUUCACAAUCUGAUCCGAUGAUGAAUAUCCAUUUUUUCUAAAAAUAGUGCAUCUACCUCUAAUUCUUUCGCAUUCAAUUAUAAAAUUAAAUUCGCCGAAGAAGGGAAAACCUCCCACUUUCAACCAAUAUGAGCUUGAUCUAAACCAGAUCUUCCUUCGGGCCGGGACGGAUUUGGGUCGGGCUUCACAAAGCCUGGAGUCAACAUUCCAAGCCCGAGCCCGGCUUGGCCCGGCUCAAAGCACAUGAACAAUGGCUUCUCAAUUUAAAUAAUUAUAUUCGGGAUAUUAAAAUGAUAUAAUAUACCUAUAUUUUGAAUAAAAUUUACAUUUGUUGCCAUUUCGGGCUUUUGGGCCGGGCUUCGGGCGAGAAAUUGAAGCCCAAGCCUACCCCAGAUGUCGGGCUUUGGGCUCGGGCCUCUGAGCCGGGUAGUCCAUGAACAGGUUUAGUUUGACCUAUUCACUCACAUUUUGAUCCUCGUUCAUUAUAGCAUUUAACCAUAAUUCAUAUGAACAUGCACCACGAGAAUAUAAUAAAGAAAAUGGGUCAAUUUGUAGUAUACAACGCCUUAUUGUGCGAUAUCACAAGAACAUUUUUCUCCUUGAUUACAGUAGUAACUAUUGUGCGAUCUUAUAUGUCAAAUCAUAUAUUAUAUGACAAAUUAAGUAUAUUGUUUUGCUUAUUUCAGUAUUACCUUCAUAAGGAAUAUAGUCACAAAUUUUGCUCCAAACGCAACGUUAUUGAGUUCAUACGAAAUGGAGCUGUGGAAGGGAAGCCGGUACAGAAGGUGCCUAAAUACUUGACUUUCAAACAUAUAGUAAUUAUGCGAAGAUGUAUAUGUUUUUUGUAUUAACUUUAAAAUAUUAAUUUGACAUGGUAUCCUAUUUUUGCACAGAGAUCAUCUGAUACUUCUACGAACAAUCUUCAGG
rnacentral:lncRNA from 1 species